rnacentral:rRNA from 1 species
UGGGGAAUAUUGGACAAUGGGGGCAACCCUGAUCCAGCGAUGCCGCGUGAGUGAAGAAGGCCUUCGGGUCGUAAAGCUCUUUAGUCCGGGAAGAAGGAUGUGUGGUGCAUAGCCAUGCAUUUUGACGGUACCGGAAGAAUAAGCACCGGCAAACCCUGUGCCAGCAGCCGCGGUAAUACAGGGGGUGCGAGCGUUAAUCGGAAUUACUGGGUGUAAAGGGCGCGUAGGCGGUGGGAUAUGUGUGAUGUGAAAGCCCCGGGCUUAACCUGGGAAGUGCAUUGCAAACUAUCUGACUAGAGUAUAUGAGAGGGUGGCGGAAUUUCCGGUGUAGCGGUGAAAUGCGUAGAUAUCGGAAGGAACGUCAAUGGCGAAGGCAGCCACCUGGCAUAAUACUGACGCUGAGGCGCGAAAGCGUGGGGAGCGAACAGGAUUAGAUACCCCUGUAGUCC